UACAGAGGGGGCAAGCGUUGUUCGGAAUUACUGGGCGUAAAGCGCACGUAGGCGGAUAUUUAAGUCAGGGGUGAAAUCCCGGGGCUCAACCCCGGAACUGCCUUUGAUACUGGGUAUCUGGAGGCCGAGAGAGGCGAGUGGAAUUCCGAGUGUAGAGGUGAAAUUCGUAGAUAUUCGGAGGAACACCAGUGGCGAAGGCGGCUCGCUGGCUCGAUACUGACGCUGAGGUGCGAAAGCGUGGGGAGCGAUCCGG
rnacentral:rRNA from 1 species